rnacentral:lncRNA from 1 species
AGAGAGGCUUGCAGGUCCAAACCACUGGUAGCAGCCCCUGGUAUAUCCAGGACAUCAGCACAUAGAACCAGUGAAAGGGUCCUCCCUCAUAGUGACGCAUGUCAUAGACUCAGAUUUAUACAAACAAAUGCUGAGCAAACCAUGAAGAGUCUCUGGUAUUUUCAACAAUAUCAUCACAGAGGAACUGUAUUGAUUUCCUUCCUUCAGUGGUCCAAGAACCUGCUGCUCCCGGGUCCUCUCAUUUGAAGACACCCACCGCCUAAGGAUGAAGAGAAGCUCCUUCUUGCAGAUCUGAGGCUGAUUUCCCAACUCCCAGGAACACCCUACCCACAGCCUGUUCCCCAGACCCAGAUGGGGUUUGCAGGAGCAAUGGCUGUAGGGACACUAAGAUUUCACCCUCCAGAAGACAGCAUCUUCCUGUGCCAUGGCUAGAUCACCAGCUACCCACAGACAGCCUGAACUCCAAUUGUCUUCCUGCACAUGUGCCUUUAAAGGUUUUACUGGCAUUAUUGCUUUUUUACUUCUGGAACUUUUCAAAUGUAGAGGAGCCUUUAGAAGGAAGCCUUGAGCAUGAGGACAGACCCCCCUCAUCCAACCACCACCUGACUCUGUGUGAACCUGGAACUGUUAGAAUGUCUGUGCUGUGAUAAAAGGUCAUCUCCCUACAAUGUUAUGAUACAGACCUCAAACCUACAAACAUGAGGAACUUCUGCCUCCAGGUUAACUGCUUACCCACUGUACAAGACACGUUACACACAGUCCAGGAGGCGGAGCUUCUGAGAUAUCUAGAAACAGCUUAGAGGCAAAAUGACAAAAUAAAGCAGCAACAACAAAUAAAACCAAUCUUCUCGAACUGGC